AGUGGCGGACGGGUGAGGAAUACGUAGGGAUCUGCCUUUAAGUGGGGGAUAACCCGGGGAAACCCGGAUUAAUACCGCAUGAUCUCGCAAGAGCAAAGAGGGGGACCGCAAGGCCUCUCGCUUUAAGAGGAACCUACGUCGGAUUAGCUAGUUGGUGAGGUAAUGGCUCACCAAGGCGACGAUCCGUAACUGGUCUGAGAGGAUGAUCAGUCACACCGGAACUGAGACACGGUCCGGACUCCUACGGGAGGCAGCAGUGGGGAAUAUUGGACAAUGGGCGAAAGCCUGAUCCAGUAAUACCGCGUGUGUGAAGAAGGCCUUCGGGUUGUAAAGCACUUUAAGUUGGGAAGAAAAAGCUUCACCUAAUACGUGGAGCCUUGACGGUACCGACAGAAUAAGCACCGGCUAACUCUGUGCCAGCAGCCGCGGUAAUACAGAGGGUGCUAGCGUUAAUCGGAUUUACUGGGCGUAAAGCGUGCGUAGGCGGUUUAAUAAGUCGAUUGUGAAAGCCCCGGGCUCAACCUGGGAAUUGCGGUCGAUACUGUCAGACUCGAAAACGGUCGAGGGAGGCGGAACUCCAGGUGUAGCGGUGAAAUGCGUAGAUAUCUGGAAGAACACCGAUGGCGAAGGCAACCUCCUGGGCCUGUUUUGACGCUGAGGCACGAAAGCGUGGGUAGCAAACAGGAUUAGAUACCCUGGU
rnacentral:rRNA from 1 species